rnacentral:rRNA from 1 species
GACGAACGCUGGCGGCGUGCUUAACACAUGCAAGUCGAACGGAAAGGCCCUGCUUUUGUGGGGUGCUCGAGUGGCGAACGGGUGAGUAACACGUGAGUAACCUGCCCUUGACUUUGGGAUAACUUCAGGAAACUGGGGCUAAUACCGGAUAGGAGCUCCUGCUGCAUGGUGGGGGUUGGAAAGUUUCGGCGGUUGGGGAUGGACUCGCGGCUUAUCAGCUUGUUGGUGGGGUAGUGGCUUACCAAGGCUUUGACGGGUAGCCGGCCUGAGAGGGUGACCGGCCACAUUGGGACUGAGAUACGGCCCAGACUCCUACGGGAGGCAGCAGUGGGGAAUAUUGCACAAUGGGCGGAAGCCUGAUGCAGCAACGCCGCGUGCGGGAGGACGGCCUUCGGGUUGUAAACCGCUUUCGCCUGGGACGAAGCGUGAGUGACGGUAAUGGGUAAAGAAGCACCGGCUAACUACGUG